rnacentral:rRNA from 1 species
GAUGAACGCUGGCGGCGUGCCUAAUACAUGCAAGUCGAACGAAACUUCUUUAUCACCGAGUGCUUGCACUCACCGAUAAAGGGUUGAGUGGCGAACGGGUGAGUAACACGUGGGCAACCUGCACAAAAGAGGAGGAUAAGACUUGAAAACAGGUGCUAAUACCCCAUAACCAUAGUUACCGAAUGGUAACUAUGUAAAAGGUGGCUAUACUACCGCUUUUGGAUUGGCCCGCGGCGCAUUAGCUAGUUGGUAGGGUAAAGGCUUACCAAGGCAAUGAUGCGUAGCCGAAUUGAGAGGUUGAUCGGCCACAUUGGGACUGAGACACGGCCCAAACUCCUACGGGAGGCAGCAGUAGGGAAUCUUCCACAAUGGGCGAAAGCCUGAUGGAGCAACGCCGCGUGGGUGAAGAAGGUCUUCGGAUCGUAAAACCCUGUUGUUAGAGAAGAAAGUGUGUGAGAGUAACUGUUCACGUUUCGACGGUAUCUAACCAGAAAGCCACGGCUAACUACGUG